GGGCCUAUAGCUCAGUUGGUUAGAGCGUUCGCCUGAUAAGCGAGAGGUCAGUGGUUCAAAUCCACUUAGGCCCA
rnacentral:tRNA from 2 species